rnacentral:lncRNA from 1 species
GCUAAAUAAGAUCUUUGACAUGUAUUUUUUAAAAAAAUUUAUUGUAUAUCAUUUCUGAAAAUCCUCCACCAAGAUGCCCAAUGAACUCACUUGAUAGGAAGAGACUUAGAAAGAAGCUGUACUCCUUUUGCCAGGAUGUAACUGAACAAAUUGACUGUGCAACCAAGGCCUUCCCUGGCGUUCCAACUUUGAGGAUAACUUGCAUUGAAUCAGGUGAACCGAGAACAGUCUGUACAGACAGAGGCAAAUGCUGGAAAAGCCCUUUCUGCAACGGGCUAAGGAAGGGAGAGUAAAUGGAAAGCAGCUAUUGCAGAACAGCUGAGAAUAUGGAGCAAAAGAGAUUAAAGAGUCAACCAGGGCAGCUGAAAGGAGGCAAGUUUGUAACUUUUGGGAAUCUCCUGGAAUCAGGGGCCGAGUGUUGCCACUGGCGUGGCAGUCUAUCAAGUAAAGACAACUGAGAAAUAUUGGAAUUGGGCCACUCUCUGCUGCAGUGGAUCCAGGAUAGGUACAGGAAUCGGAUCCCUGUGUUUGGCACUGGCCUUGCCCCUCUGUAGAUGUGCUGGAAGUCAUAACUUUGAGCUGUAUCUGUUAUUUGAUGCCAGGUUUCGAUGAAAUAAUAUUUCAAAAGGGCACAUACAUUUUUUAAAAUGCUUUAAAAAUGUAAACAAUUCAUCUGUUAAUUACUAUCUUCCAAUAUUUUCAUGUUUAUAAGUGCAAAAUAUAGAGAAUGGCUAUCUAUUUGAUCUUGGCCUAUAAACUUUUUUUUCACUUUUUAAUUUAUAUUAGGAACAACAGGGCUAAGUUAAUUUUACUUUUCCUCAAGCGGCAUUAAAAUAUGAAUCACAUUACCCUGCUUUUACAAAGAUACAAUGUAUCUUUACCAUCUCAGAUUUCGCAUCUUAUUCUUUUCUUAAAAAUAAACAAAACUGCUUUUAUUUUAAGCAACCAGUUCUGUAGGUGAUCUGCUCCACAACUGACCAUGCUUUCCUUUCAUUUUUAAAAAUAUAUGACAUAAUAUCUGGAAUCAAUUUUGGGAAAGAAAAAUUCUUUUCAUAUGCCAUUCACACAACAGAGAAAGACUUAAAUAGGUUUUAUGGUAUGUGAGAUUUCUGGAGUUUCUUUAGUUUUAUAAGAAGAUGUAUAUAUUUUCUUCAUCAUAUUGUAUUAUUUCUCAAAUAUUGUUCUGUUACUGGGGCAAAAUAUGGACAUCAAUGCCCAGAAUAAAACAUACUUAGUUUCUGCUAGAGUAAGUGAAACUAAGUAUACACUCAGUGAUAAAAUACCACUAUGCACAAAGAUAAAUUUCUUUUUUGUAUGUGUCACAAAUAAAUGUUAAAGCAGUUACUCUUCUGAAUUUAGCUAUAAAUGUUAAAAAAACUAUGUGGAUGUCCACUUAGAGUUUUUAAAACAUUUACAUACUCUCUUCUCUAACACAACCCUGAAGGGUUUUUAUUGAUUUCAGUGCUUUGCCUUGAUUCAGGAAAAACAUGCAUUUGGACUUUUCACAGGCCAAUGAAUACUAAAAAUUAACAUUUAAGGCACAUUCAAAAUGUGAAAGGC